AGUGUGUCGCUGUGAUCUCGGCGGUCUGGAGGCGGGAAAGUCUCUCUGGGUUUAUCGGGAGCGAGUGAACUGCGCAAACUGCUUCAGUAAAAUCAGAGGUCAGUGGUAUAUUUGAGACAAACGGGCAUCAAUCUACAUGGAGACACUGAAUAUUAAUAAAGACAAUAAUUCAACACAACUGAUCUUAUAAAUUACAGUUGAUUAAGAUGUAAAAUGGCAUAAGGAUAUGAGGCAUGCUUUAUAUUAUAUUCCUGAGGAAAAUGUUUACAGGAUUUAUAUGGUAAUGCUUUCUUGAGGUUGUUAAUGGGCAAAGCUUUGAUAAUUUAUGAGAAUAUAUACUCAAAUAUGCAAAUGCUAUCUGUUCUUUUAAAUUCAUUUGAGUGUAGCUGACAUUGAUGUUCAACUGAAAACAUGAUACGCACAUAAUAAAACUAUAUUCUGAUU